rnacentral:lncRNA from 1 species
UUUUAAUAUAGUAUUUUUUCUUUCUUCCUUUAUUUUUGUAGAUUGUAGCAAGAGAUCUAGUGCUAUUGCAGAAAGAAGUCCAUAGGCAUCACUUGUUUUGGAGAGGAACUCGUGUAAUAUAGUAUCCUGGUCUGGUAAGCAAAGUGUGAUCCUGCUGAGUUUAUUUCUUGAAUUUCCUCCUCCCUGGUCUACCUACAUCUGAUCGAAAACUCUCUCUGUUUCCAAAAUUCUGUUAAAGCAGAUAAUAGUUAUUUCACUGCACAUGGAUUUCAAGGAAUGUGGAUA